rnacentral:rRNA from 1 species
AUCAGUCACACCGGAAUUGAGACACGGUCCGGACUCCUACGGGAGGCAGCAGUGGGGAAUAUUGGACAAUGGGGGCAACCCUGAUCCAGCCAUGCCGCGYGUGUGAAGAAGGCCUUUUGGUUGUAAAGCACUUUAAGCAGGGAGGAGAGGCUAAUGGUUAAUACCCAUUAGAUUAGACGUUACCUGCAGAAUAAGCACCGGCUAACUCUGUGCCAGCAGCCGCGGUAAUACAGAGGGUGCGAGCGUUAAUUGGAAUUACUGGGCGUAAAGCGAGUGUAGGUGGCUCAUUAAGUCACAUGUGAAAUCCCCGGGCUUAACCUGGGAACUGCAUGUGAUACUGGUGGUGCUAGAAUAUGUGAGAGGGAAGUAGAAUUCCAGGUGUAGCGGUGAAAUGCGUAGAGAUCUGGAGGAAUACCGAUGGCGAAGGCAGCUUCCUGGC